GGGCGGUGCCGGUGGGGUCGUGCGCCAGCGCCGACUGGAACUCGGUGCGCUCGGCGCCCAGGUUGAAGUCCGCGCCCGCCCC
rnacentral:tRNA from 1 species